ACUCAAAUGAAUUGACGGGGGCCCGCACAAGCGGUGGAACAUGUGGUUUAAUUCGACACUACGCGAGGAACCUUACCUGGGCUUGACAUGUAUUUGAAACCCGUAGAAAUACGGUCCUCUAGGCUUCGGUUUAGACAGGUACACAGGUGCUGCAUGGCUGUCGUCAGCUCGUGUCGUGAGAUGUUGGGUUAAGUCCUUUAACGAGCGCAACCCCUGCUGUCAGUUGCUAUUUGUGAAAACAAAGCACUCUGACGGGACUGCCUGGGAAACCAGGAGGAAGGUGGGGAUGACGUCAAGUCAUCAUGGUCCUUAUGUCCAGGGCUACACACGUGUUACAAUGGCUAGUACAAAGGGCUGCAAACUUGUAAAAGUGAGCUAAUCCCAGAAAACUAGUCUAAGUUCGGAUUGAGGUCUGAAAUUCGACCUCAUGAAGUUGAAAUCGCUAGUAAUCGUAUAUCAGAAUGAUACGGUGAAUACGUUCUCGGGCCUUGUACACACCGCCCGU
rnacentral:rRNA from 1 species